UGUGAGUGAAGAAGGUUUUUAAUGAAUUCCUGGGCUGGUGAACUGAAGAGACCAUGACUCAUUAGCCAGUGCUGGCUAAUGCAAAGUGAGUUCAGAGAAAGGCUGGUUGCCACAAGCUAAAAUUGCACUUGUUGCUGUCCUGAUCUAUGUACAACUCUGAUACCCUGUGA